rnacentral:tRNA from 1 species
GCCGUGGUGGUGCAGUGGUCAGCACACCCGACCUGGUAUCCUACGCUCACUUCCUACGUUCGCUUACCUAAAUUCCUAAUACUCUCGCUCGAGGGUCGGGAGGUCGCUGGUUCGAAUCCGGCCCACGGUG